rnacentral:snoRNA from 1 species
AACCCAUGGUGAGGGCACCUUCUCAAUAAAUCCUUGUAUCUCUCCCAUGUAUCAUAAAGUGUUUCUAAAUCCAUCUGCACAAAAGAAGAGAUAUCAUUCCUUAAUUU